rnacentral:rRNA from 1 species
AACGCUGGCGGCGUGCUUAACACAUGCAAGUCGAACGGAAAGGCCCCUGCUUGCAGGGUACUCGAGUGGCGAACGGGUGAGUAACACGUGGGUGAUCUGCCCUGUACUUUGGGAUAAGCCUGGGAAACUGGGUCUAAUACCGGAUAUGACCAUUUGGAUGNGNUGGUGGAAAGCUUUUGCGGUAUGGGAUGAGCUCGCGGCCUAUCAGCUUGUUGGUGGGGUAAUGGCCUACCAAGGCGUCGACGGGUAGCCGGCCUGAGAGGGUGUACGGCCACAUUGGGACUGAGAUACGGCCCAGACUCCU